CACCAGCUCCACAAGUGGGGAUCAUAUUUAUUUGGCCUAAAGCGUCCGUAGCUGGUUUUGUAAAUCUUUUGUGAAAUUGUUAGGCUUAACCUAACAGCGCGCAGGGGACACUGCAAUAACUAGGGACCGGGAAGGGUUAGGGGUAUGCUGAGGGGAGCGGUAAAAUGCAAUAAUCCUCGGUAGACCACCUGUGGCGGAGGCGCCUAACUAGAACGGGUCCGACAGUGAGGGACGAAAGCCAGGGG
rnacentral:rRNA from 1 species